rnacentral:rRNA from 1 species
UACGGAGGGUGCAAGCGUUAAUCGGAAUUACUGGGCGUAAAGCGCACGCAGGUGGCUGAGUAAGUCGAUUGUGAAAGCCCUGGGCUUAACCUGGGAAUUGCAGUCGAUACUGCUCGGCUAGAGUAUGGGAGAGGGUAGUGGAAUUCCCGGUGUAGCGGUGAAAUCCGUAGAUAUCAGGAGGAACACCGAUGGCGAAGGCAGCUGCCUGGACCAGUACUGACGCUGAGACGCGAAAGCGUGGGGAGCAAACAGGG